CCCCACCAGGGGCAAACCCGGUGAAAACCAGGGGCGCAAAGCCAAGGGGCCUAAAGCGGUUGAUUCGCUACGGCAGCCCGGCUGCUGGG
rfam:Desulfotomaculum putei DSM 12395 genome assembly, contig: EJ51DRAFT_scaffold00027.27